rnacentral:rRNA from 1 species
AGUGAGCGCUGGCGGUAGGCCUAACACAUGCAAGUCGAACGGCAGCACAGAGGAGCUUGCUCCUUGGGUGGCGAGUGGCGGACGGGUGAGGAAUACAUCGGAAUCUACUCUGUCGUGGGGGAUAACGUAGGGAAACUUACGCUAAUACCGCAUACGACCUACGGGUGAAAGCAGGGGAUCUUCGGACCUUGCGCGAUUGAAUGAGCCGAUGUCGGAUUAGCUAGUUGGCGGGGUAAAGGCCCACCAAGGCGACGAUCCGUAGCUGGUCUGAGAGGAUGAUCAGCCACACUGGAACUGAGACACGGUCCAGACUCCUACGGGAGGCAGCAGUGGGGAAUAUUGGACAAUGGGCGCAAGCCUGAUCCAGCCAUACCGCGUGGGUGAAGAAGGCCUUCGGGUUGUAAAGCCCUUUUGUUGGGAAAGAAAUCCAUCUGGUUAAUACCCGGGUGGGAUGACGGUACCCAAAGAAUAAGCACCGGCUAACUUCGUGCCAGCCGCCGCCGUAA